AAACUUGUGCUAAUACCGGAUAAGUCUUUACGGAGAAAGCUUUAUGCACCAUUGGAUGAGCCUGCACUUGAUUAGUUUGUUGGUGGGGUAAUGGCCUACCAAGACUUUGAUCAAUAGCUGAUUUGAGAGGAUGAUCAGCCACAUUGGGACUGAGACACGGCCCAAACUCCUACGGGAGGCAGCAGUGGGGAAUCUUGCACAAUGGAGGAAACUCUGAUGCAGCGAUGCCGCGUGAGUGAAGAAGGCCCUUGGGUUGUAAAGCUCUUUCGUCGGGGAAGAAAAUGACUGUACCCGAAUAAGAAGGUCCGG
rnacentral:rRNA from 1 species